AUGGCCGACUUGUUGCUCCGCCUCACGCUGACCUGUGCUCGCCUUAUGGCUGAACUGUUGCUCCGAGUCCGCCUGACGAGCCACCUGUUUCUCCGGAUCUGUUUCUCCGCCUAACGGCGACGUGUUUCUCCGGACCUGUUUCUCCGGACCUGUUUCUCCGCCUAACGGCGACCUGUGCUCGCCUCACGCCCGACCUGUUGAUCGGUGGACGGGUAAGCGCGCAUGGCAUCGGAAGGAGCUCGAAAAGUAUAAGAUGGAUAAUUGCGUGAAAAUCAAACUAAAAGAAUGCAAUCUUGAGGAGUUAAUCCCCACAUUUGAAGCACAGGAGCGAACCUUUCCUCGUUUUUAGGUCAAUUUGAAUACAAUUCAGAGGGGUGGCAUGGGGGCGCAGUGGGUAGUGCUGUCGCCUCACAGCAAGAUGGUCGCUGGUUGAGCCUUGGAUGGGUUUCCCCUCCACAGUCCAAUGACAUGCGGUGUAGCUGAAUUGGAUUGGGACCAAUAUUGCUGAGUAUCUUCAUCCAUUGAAUUCAAGAAUCUAUUGAGUUUCCUCAUGUUCUCAUCCUUGGAGACCACCACUUCUUUCAAGCCUUUGCUCACGUGCUGUGCCAUUUAUUAUUGCAAAGUACAUUACUUGCCAAAGUGGACGUUUGCUAUAAAGCAUUCUACAUCUUUGGUGUGAACUACCCCAAGCAGUGUUCCCUGGUGUGGCAGACUGUGGUUUAUGGACAUCCUGGGGAGGAGACACUAGCAGUAAGGGUUCUGCUAGCAUUAAUUUUUGCUGACAAACAGUAAUCAUUAAUACUGUGACCUCACUGCUUCCUUGGAUUCUGUGUUCUUUAACUUGUACUUUGGAUUGUGGGGGAAAAGGAGCACCCAGAGAAAACCCACACGAACACGGGGAAAACAUGCAAACUCCACACAGAAACACCAACUGACCCAGCUGAGGCUUAAACCACCGACCUUGUUGCUGUGAGGCAAUCGUACUACCCACUGUGCCACCAUGACACCCAUUUCUAAAGAAUAGUUUUAAUAACUCAUUUCUAAUAACUGAUUUCUUUUCUCUUUGCUAUGAUGACGGCACAUAAUAAUGGACUAGAUAUUUUUUAAGACACUCUACACUGCAGUUACAUUGCAACUAAUGUUUCUUACAGACUCUUUUAUAUCUCAGGAUUGAUGUUUGCACAUGAUUGUUCGAGUAAAAGUUAAAAAAAGUUUUCCUAUUUCAAAUUUGUUUUAAAAUGCUUCCAUCCUCAGGUUUCAUUUUAACUUUUAUAUCUCUUUUUUCUUCAAAACUGCAUUUACAUUGAACUUGAUCAUCCUUACUGAUGAUUGCUUUAUAGCUCAUAUAUUGAUGUUUGCACAUAAUUGUUAAAGGGAAAGUUAUAAAAUGUUUUCUUAUUUUUUCUUAAUAUAAAAUUUGUAUUUUCUUAGUUUUUAUUGUUUGUUUUGUUUUUUCAAGCUGUUUGAUGCCUUUUCAUUAUUACUUUCACAUAUUUUUUUCUGCAUUGCAGUUGAUGAUUUAUAUGAGAAUAUGUUGAUGUUUGUGCUCAAAUUACUUUCUGACUUCAGUCAUUUAGAUGCAUUUUCAUUAUUACUUCCUUAUACUAUUGUUUUUCUCUACUCUGCAAUAACAUUGCAAUUGCCUUACUGAUGAUUCCUGAUUUAUAAAUGAUGCAAAUGUUUUUGAAUGUAUUUCAAAUAUGCAUUUUCUUAAGGUAAUUUGUCUGAUUUCAGUCUGAUGCAUUGUUACUGAACUUUAGUCAGUGUUUCUGUGAUACAGUUUGAUAAAUUUUCACAGAAAUCGUCUUAACCCUUUAACAACCCUUUCAAGAAAAAAAA
rnacentral:lncRNA from 1 species